rnacentral:rRNA from 1 species
UACGUAGGAUGCGAGCGUUAUCCGGAUUUAUUGGGUUUAAAGGGUGCGUAGGCGGGCUUUUAAGUCAGCGGUAAAAAUUCGGGGCUCAACCCCGUCCGGCCGUCGAAACUGGGGGCCUUGAGUGGGCGAGAAGAAGGCGGAAUGCGUGGUGUAGCGGUGAAAUGCAUAGAUAUCACGCAGAACCCCGAUUGCGAAGGCAGCCUUCCGGCGCCCUACUGACGCUGAGGCACGAAAGUGCGGGGAUCGAACAGG